rnacentral:lncRNA from 1 species
AAGUAGAAACUAUCUAUUCACAGACACAACAAUUUGAAAGCUGCCUGAUUUUCCUUCUUUAAUAUUCCUCCUUGACUUGGUUUUCAGAUGUUUAUAAUUAGAGCUUUAUUCCUUUGGCACAAAUCAGAUAGCUUUGUGUGGAGUUAAGUUGCCUGGUAGAGCUAAUAGAUAAAGCCAUUGUCAGUCAUUUUUAGGAGUUAAAGUAAAUGAGUCUAUCGUGUCUUUUCCUGAGGGAGAGUUUUACUGAAGGGAUUAUAAAGGAAGAAGUGGGCGUAGGAACCUGAAACACCCCUCUCCCCAGAAUAAGCUGGAUCAAAAGCAUGAACCUGAGGUAACGUGGGACAAAAGCAAAAACGGGGAGAUGAAGAAAGACACAUUUUCCCCACCUCACAAUUUUGCUAGGCUUGGCUGGAUCUUGACCUAUCUUGUCGAUUCCCAGGUCAAACUCUGCUGCCUCGGUUUACUCACAGAAGAAGAACAAGAUUCAGAACAGAAACCACAAGCCUGGUUCCUCAGCAGAGCCAAUCUGGAGAAUAGGAAGGAAGCAUCUAGGGAUGGGGGACGGAGGUUGACUGGUGCCAAAGUGCGUCGGGCUGGAUGGGGUGCAGGACACCAAGAUCUUCAACUCUGGCUCCAGCCUUCCUCUAGACUAGAAUCCUCUAACUGCCCACUAGACAUCUAGGACAUUCCAACACCACUUCCAACUCAAGCCAUCCCAAAUCAACCUUCCGGAUCUUCUUCCUGACUUCCCCUUUGUUUCAGGAGAAACUCUGGGGCUACUUUUGAUUCUAGAGCCUUUUGCCCCGUUGGCCACGUCCAAUGAGUUAGUAAAUUUUGUGGAUUUUUCACCGGCAACUCUUCUUUCCUUCUUUUAUCACAUUCCCUCUUCCAGCUCUCACUGUCUCAAGCUGAGAUCAUUGCAACAGCCUCCCAACAGACUUUUUUUGAAUCCUCUCCUUUUAUCUGCUUAUAAUCCAGCCAAAAUAUCUCCCUGAAGACUCUCCUAAUUGCUUCAACUUUAAGUCGUUUGCAUUUCUUUUGGACCCCUUUGCUGUUUAUGUUCUGCUCCCCUAAUUUUAGCACCUACUGUAUUCCACUGUAUCUUCUAGUUAUCUCUUUAAGCAUAGGUUUUGCUCUUUAACCCAGCUGUACACAGGAACUGGGUCUUAGGCUUGUUACAUCUCUCCCCGUACCCAGAUCUCUGGUAAGCAUGUAAUAGACGCCC